UGGAUUUUGAUUUUGGAGAAUUUAUUGUUUGUCAAUUUCAAUUGUCAUACAAAUUUGUAUUUUAGGUGUGUAUUUUCAAUUUAGGCCUAAGUUACAACUACUACAGUUUAAAGAACCAUUUUUGUCAUCACAAAAUGGGUGGAAUGAGGUGGAUAUUGGGGUGAUAGGACUGGAGUGAUAGUGAUAGUGAUUCAGGAGUUGAGAUUUUGGAUUUUGAUUCAGUUGAGGAACUGGCCAAUCAAGUGGGCCAGACUCAAGACACACCAAGAGAACUACUGGAAUCUACACAAAAAUUGGGCGUCUCUAAAUUUGAAUGGAUACCUAUUACACCAAAUGAGGAGAUGGAUGCACCCUCCUUCAGAAGGCGCUGAAAGGAAUACUAAUUAUAGGCCGCUGUACUCCGUAAAAGAACUUAAGGAAGAGCACCUAGUGAGAUAAGUGUGUGUCUGCCAUAUCAUCCGUUAAACAGCCAGGUUUUUGAAGGAAGAAAGAUGUAGCCCCAGCUCUGGACAAAAAUAUUAUGGAGAAGGUUGGCCGCUGUACAGGGCAGCUAUAGUUAUUAUUAUAUGUUGCCUUUUAUUGUUAUGUACUGUUUUUAUACUUUACCAAUAAACCUUAUAUUUAAUCUA